UAGUCCACGCCGUAAACGAUGAAUACUAGGUGUUGGGUAAUUAUACUCAGUGCCGCAGCAAACGCAUUAAGUAUUCCACCUGGGGAGUACGAUCGCAAGGUUGAAACUCAAAGGAAUUGACGGGGGCCCGCACAAGUAGUGGAGCAUGUGGUUUAAUUCGAUGCAACGCGAAGAACCUUACCUAGGCUUGAAAUGUAGUGGACCAGCUGUGAAAGCAGCUUUCUCUUCGGAGUCGCUAUACAGGUGCUGCAUGGCUGUCGUCAGCUCGUGCCGUGAGGUGUUGGGUUAAGUCCCGCAACGAGCGCAACCCUUAUUCUUAGUUGCCAGCAUGUAGUGAUGGGGACUCUAGGAAGACUGCCGGCGUAAGCCGGCGAGGAAGGGUGGGGGACGACGUCAAAUCAUCAUGGCCUUUAUGCCUAGGGGCUACACACGUGCUACAAUGGGUGCAUACAGCGGGGUAGCGAAAUCGGCGA
rnacentral:rRNA from 1 species